UACGGAGGAUGCAAGCGUUAUCCGGAAUGAUUGGGCGUAAAGCGUCCGCAGGUGGCAAUGUAAGUCUGCUGUCAAAGCGUCUGGCUCAACCAGAUAAAGGCAGUGGAAACUACAUAGCUAGAGUAAGGUAGGGGUAGAGGGAAUUCCUGGUGUAGCGGUGAAAUGCGCAGAUAUCAGGAAGAACACCCGUGGCGAAGGCGGUUCUCUGGGACGGUACUGACGCUGAGACGCGAAAGCGUGGGGAGCGAACAGG
rnacentral:rRNA from 1 species